rnacentral:rRNA from 1 species
ACGGUAACAGAGAAUAGCUUGCUAUUUUGCUGACGAGUGGCGGACGGGUGAGUAAUGCUUGGGAAUUUGCCGAAAGGUGGGGGACAACAGUUGGAAACGACUGCUAAUACCGCAUCACGUCUACGGACCAAAGGUGGCCUCUAUUUAUAUGCUAUCGCCUUUCGAUGAGCCCAAGUGGGAUUAGCUAGUUGGUAAGGUAAUGGCUUACCAAGGCGACGAUCCCUAGCUGGUCUUAGAGGAUGACCAGCCACACUGGAACUGAGACACGGUCCAGACUCCUACGGGAGGCAGCAGUGGGGAAUAUUGCACAAUGGAGGAAACUCUGAUGCAGCCAUGCCGCGUGUGUGAAGAAGGCUUUCGGGUUGUAAAGCACUUUCAGCGAGGAGGAAAGGGUGUUACUUAAUACGUAAUAUCUGUGACGUUACUCGCAGAAGAAGCACCGGCUAACUCCGUGCCAGCAGCCGCGGUAAUACGGAGGGUGCAAGCGUUAAUCGGAAUUACUGGGCGUAAAGCGCGCGUAGGCGGUUAAUUAAGUCAGAUGUGAAAGCCCAGGGCUCAACCUUGGAACUGCAUUUGAGACUGGUUGACUAGAGUUUUGUAGAGGGUGGUAGAAUUUCAGGUGUAGCGGUGAAAUGCGUAGAGAUCUGAAGGAAUACCAGUGGCGAAGGCGGCCACCUGGCAAGUAACUGACGCUCAGAUGCGAAAGCGUGGGUAGCAAACGGGAUUAGAUACCCCGG